UACAGAGGGUGCGAGCGUUGUUCGGAAUUAUUGGGCGUAGAGCGCGUGUAGGCGGUCUGUUAUGUCGGGUGUGAAAGCCCUCAGCUUAACUGAGGAAGUGCGCCCGAAACUGGCAGACUUGAGUGCCGGAGAGGAUAGCGGAACACCCGGUGUAGAGGUGAAAUUCGUAGAUAUCGGGUAGAACACCAGUGGCGAAGGCGGCUAUCUGGACGGACACUGACGCUGAGACGCGAAAGCGUGGGGAGCAAACAGG
rnacentral:rRNA from 1 species